GGGUGUAGCAGAGGGUUUGGAGUGGGGACAGGGUCGGGGGAAGAGUUGGGGGUAGCAGUGUGGGGUUGGGUGUAGCAGAGGGUUUGGAGUGGGGACGGGGGGUAGUGGUGGGUUUGGGGCAGGGGAAGAGUUGGGGGUAGCCGUGGGUUUGGAGCGGGGACAGGGUUGGGGGAAGAAUUGGGGUACCAGUAGGGGUGGGGGGUAGCAGUGGGUUUGGAGCAGGGAUGGGGUUGGGGGAAGAGUUGGGGUACCAGUGGGUUUGGAGUGGGGACGGGGUUGGGGGUAGCAGUGGGUUUGGGGCAGGGUCGGGUUUGGGGGUAGCAGUGGGCUUGGGGCAGGGUCGGGGGAAGAGCUGGGGGCAGCAGUGGGGGUUGGGGUAGCAGUGGGAUUGGGGCGGGGUUGGGGGAAGAGUUGGGGGUAGCAGUGGGGUUGGUGGUAAUGAUGGGGUUGGGUUGGUGGUAGCAGUGGGGUUGGGGAUAGUGGUGGGGUCGGGUUAGGGGGUAGCAGUGGGUUUGGAGUGGGGACGGGGUUGGGGGAAGAGUUGGGGGUAGCAGUAGGAGUUGGGGGUAGUGGGGUUGGAGUGGGGACAGGGUUGGGGGUAGCGGUGGGUUUGGAGCGGGGUUGGGGGAAGAGUUAGGGGGUAGCAGUGGGGUCAGGGGUAAUGGUGAGGUCUGGCUGGGGGUAGCUGUGGGUUUGGAGUGGGGACGGGGUUAGGGGAAGAGUUAGGGGUAGCAGUGGGGUUGGGGGUACAGUGGAUUUGGAGUGGGGUUGGGGGAAGAGUUGAGGGGUAGCAGUGGGGUCGGGGGUAGUGGUGAGGUCUGGCUGGGGGUAGCUGUGGGUUUGGAGUGGGGACGGGGUUGGGGGGAAGAUUGGGGGGUAACAGUGGGG